rnacentral:rRNA from 1 species
AUUAGAUGAGCCUAUAUUAGAUUAGCUAGUUGGUGGAGUAAUAGCCUACCAAGGCAAUGAUCUAUAGCUGAUCUGAGAGGAUGAUCAGCCACACUGGAACUGAGAUACGGUCCAGACUCCUACGGGAGGCAGCAGUGGGGAAUAUUGGACAAUGGGCGAAAGCCUGAUCCAGCCAUGCCGCAUGAGUGAAGAAGGCCUUUGGGUUGUAAAGCUCUUUUAGUGAGGAAGAUAAUGACGGUACUCACAGAAGAAGUCCUGGCUAACUCCGUGCCAGCAGCCGCGGUAAUACGGAGAGGGCUAGCGUUAUUCGGAAUUAUUGGGCGUAAAGGGCGCGUAGGCUGAUUAAUAAGUUAAAAGUGAAAUCCCGAGGCUUAACCUUGGAAUUGCUUUUAAAACUAUUAAUCUAGAGAUUGAAAGAGGAUAGAGGAAUUCCUGAUGUAGAGGUAAAAUUCGUAAAUAUUAGGAGGAACACCAGUGGCGAAGGCGUCUAUCUGGUUCAAAUCUGACGCUGAAGCGCGAAGGCGUGGGGAGCAAACAGGAUUAGAUACCCUGGUAGUCCACGCUAUAAACGAUGAAUGUUAAAUAUGGGAAGUUUACUUUCUGUAUUACAGCUA